rnacentral:rRNA from 1 species
AUUAGACGAAUCAUCUGGAAAGAUGAAUCAAAGAAGGUAAUAAUCCUGUAGUCGAAAAUGUUGUCUCUCUUGAGUGGAUCCUGAGUACGACGGAGCACGUGAAAUUCCGUCGGAAUCUGGGAGGACCAUCUCCUAAGGCUAAAUACUCUCUAGUGACCGAUAGUGAACCAGUACCGUGAGGGAAAGGUGAAAAGCACCCCGGAAGGGGAGUGAAAUAGAACCUGAAACCGUGUGCUUACAAGUAGUCAGAGCCCGUUAAUGGGUGAUGGCGUGCCUUUUGUAGAAUGAACCGGCGAGUUACGAUUUGAUGCAAGGUUAAGCAGUAAAUGUGGAGCCGUAGCGAAAGCGAGUCUGAAUAGGGCGUUUAGUAUUUGGUCGUAGACCCGAAACCAGGUGAUCUACCCUUGGUCAGGUUGAAGUUCAGGUAACACUGAAUGGAGGACCGAACCGACUUACGUUGAAAAGUGAGCGGAUGAACUGAGGGUAGCGGAGAAAUUCCAAUCGAACCUGGAGAUAGCUGGUUCUCUCCGAAAUAGCUUUAGGGCUAGCCUCAAGUGAUGAUUAUUGGAGGUAGAGCACUGUUUGGACGAGGGGCCCCUCUCGGGUUACCGAAUUCAGACAAACUCCGAAUGCCAAUUAAUUUAACUUGGGAGUCAGAACAUGGGUGAUAAGGUCCGUGUUCGAAAGGGAAACAGCCCAGACCACCAGCUAAGGUCCCAAAAUAUAUGUUAAGUGGAAAAGGAUGUGGCGUUGCCCAGACAACUAGGAUGUUGGCUUAGAAGCAGCCAUCAUUUAAAGAGUGCGUAAUAGCUCACUAGUCGAGUGACACUGCGCCGAAAAUGUACCGGGGCUAAACAUAUUACCGAAGCUGUGGAUUGUCCUUUGGACAAUGGUAGGAGAGCGUUCUAAGGGCGUUGAAGCAUGAUCGUAAGGACAUGUGGAGCGCUUAGAAGUGAGAAUGCCGGUGUGAGUAGCGAAAGACGGGUGAGAAUCCCGUCCACCGAUUGACUAAGGUUUCCAGAGGAAGGCUCGUCCGCUCUGGGUUAGUCGGGUCCUAAGCUGAGGCCGACAGGCGUAGGCGAUGGAUAACAGGUUGAUAUUCCUGUACCACCUAUAAUCGUUUUAAUCGAUGGGGGGACGCAGUAGGAUAGGCGAAGCGUGCGAUUGGAUUGCACGUCUAAGCAGUAAGGCUGAGUAUUAGGCAAAUCCGGUACUCGUUAAGGCUGAGCUGUGAUGGGGAGAAGACAUUGUGUCUUCGAGUCGUUGAUUUCACACUGCCGAGAAAAGCCUCUAGAUAGAAAAUAGGUGCCCGUACCGCAAACCGACACAGGUAGUCAAGAUGAGAAUUCUAAGGUGAGCGAGCGAACUCUC